UACGUAGGGUGCGAGCGUUGUCCGGAAUUAUUGGGCGUAAAGAGCUCGUAGGCGGUCUGUCGCGUCGGUCGUGAAAACUUGGGGCUUAACCCCGAGCUUGCGGUCGAUACGGGCAUGACUGGAGUUCGGCAGGGGAGACUGGAAUUCCUGGUGUAGCGGUGAAAUGCGCAGAUAUCAGGAGGAACACCGGUGGCGAAGGCGGGUCUCUGGGCCGAUACUGACGCUGAGGAGCGAAAGCGUGGGGAGCGAACAGG
rnacentral:rRNA from 1 species